ACACCACGAUCCCCCAGCCCCUGGCCAAUGGGCUGCUGGGAAAGAUCAAGUGUCACUAUAACACGAGGGCGUGGGGCUGGCCGGGCAGUGCCUGCAGCCGGUCCUGUCCACAGGGAGCUACAGCCCUUCUCAGACUCAACCCGCAGAAACAACCCUAACCCCACCAUGUCAGACGAGGAAGUUGAACAGGUGGAGGG